rnacentral:rRNA from 1 species
UACGAAGGGGGGCUAGCGUUGCUCGGAAUCACUGGGCGUAAAGGGUGCGUAGGCGGGUCUUUUAAGUCAGGGGUGAAAUCCUGGAGCUCAACUCCAGAACUGCCUUUGAUACUGAAGAUCUUGAGUUCGGGAGAGGUGAGUGGAACUGCGAGUGUAGAGGUGAAAUUCGUAGAUAUUCGCAAGAACACCAGUGGCGAAGGCGGCUCACUGGCCCGAUACUGACGCUGAGGCACGAAAAGCGUGGGGGAGCAAACGGGGAUUAAGCAA